AUUGAACGCUGGCGGCGGGCCUAACACAUGCAAGUCGAACGAAUGAGGGGAGCUUGCUCCUGGGAUCAGCGGCGAACGGGUGAGUAAUGCGUAGGAAUCUGCCUGGUAGUGGGGGAUAACGUCCGGAAACGGGGGCUUAUAACGCAUACGUCGCGCGGGCGAAAGGGGGGGUUCUUCGGAGAUCACGCUGUCAGGGGAGCCUAGGUCGGCUUGGCUAGUUGGUGGGGUGAACGCCUACCACGGCGAGGAUCCGUAACUGGGCGGGGAGGAUGAUCCGCCGCCCUGGAGCUGGGACACGCUCCAUGCUCCUGCGGGAGGCAGCAGUCGGGAACAUUAGGCAGUGGGCGGAAACCUUAUCCAGCCGUGCCGCGUGUGUGAAGAAGGUCUUCGGAUUGUAAAGCACUUUUUGGGGGGAGGAAGGGCAGUAAGUUGAGACCUUGCUGUUGUGACGGUACCUGCAGAAUAAGCACCGGCUAACUUCGUG
rnacentral:rRNA from 1 species